GACGUAGGGCGCGAGCGUUGUCCGGAUUUAUUGGGCGUAAAGAGCUCGUAGGCGGCUUGUUGCGUCGGCUGUGAAAACCCAUGGCUCAACCGUGGGCUUGCAGCCGAUACGGGCAGGCUAGAGUUCGGUAGGGGAGAGUGGAAUUCCUGGUGUAGCGGUGAAAUGCGCAGAUAUCAGGAAGAACACCCGUGGCUAAGGCGGCUCUCUAGUACGGUACUGACGCUGAGACGCGAAAGCGUGGGGAGCGAACAGG
rnacentral:rRNA from 1 species